rnacentral:rRNA from 1 species
UGGGGAAUUUUGCGCAAUGGGGGAAACCCUGACGCAGCAACGCCGCGUGGAGGAUGAAGUACUUCGGUACGUAAACUCCUUUCGAUCGGGACGAUUAUGACGGUACCGAGAGAAGAAGCCCCGGCUAACUUCGUGCCAGCAGCCGCGGUAAUACGAGGGGGGCGAGCGUUGUUCGGAAUUAUUGGGCGUAAAGGGUGCGUAGGCGGUUUGGUAAGUCUGAUGUGAAAUCUAUGGGCUCAACUCAUAGUCUGCAUCGGAAACUGCCGGGCUUGAGUGUGGGAGAGGUGAGUGGAAUUUCCGGUGUAGCGGUGAAAUGCGUAGAUAUCGGAAGGAACACCUGUGGCGAAAGCGGCUCACUGGACCACAACUGACGCUGAUGCACGAAAGCUAGGGGAGCAAACAGGAUUAGAUACCCCCGUAGUCC